CUGGGAGGUAGAUGGGGGAGGCAAGCUAGAGGCAGCCAAGAACCAUGGCGGCGGUGGAAGUGGCAGAGCGGCUGCGAUACUACCGGCACAUGCAAAAGACUAAACAUGGCUAAAACAGGUGACAGAAAAUAGGAGCCAAGGAAGCCUAGCAAGGACCUAGACUAUGAGGCAAAAUUUACCACAGGCAAAAUUCUCCAAUCUGCAAGAAACAACCUUGCCCUCCUACUCGUUACGUCCAGCCUGGGAACUUCUUCCUCUAUAUUGCUGGACUUUUAGAUAACAGCAUUUACCAGGUUUCAGUGAGUUCUACUGUAGAAACUUACGCAUUUUAAGAUUCUUAAGAGAGUCAGUAAAGAUUCAUGUUUAAACAUGCUAUUUAAUGUGACAGUGUGGAGAAUGUGUUAGAAGGGUUUUCAGAUGGUCUGGUCGGAUAUUUCUUGCUGUGAUCCUAGUUCUGUUUUUCUACUUUAUAUGUAUAUUUUUAGUGGUAAGGAAACAAAGUUUCCACCCUAUGUUUUCCAUUACCUACUUCUUGAAAUCUUUUACUGAUGUUUUUCUUUUGUUUCCCCCAUCACAAAAUGAGUUGGGAGACUUAAGAAGGUAUUUUGUCAUUUGCAUCAAGAAGAAUCUCCCUUCCCAUGUACUCUAUU
rnacentral:lncRNA from 1 species